rnacentral:misc_RNA from 1 species
GCAAACUUGGUCAUUUAGAGGAAGUAAAAGUCGUAACAAGGUAACCGUAGGUGAACCUGCGGUUGGAUCAUUAACAAAAAUUAGACUAGCUUGUCCAAAAGACAGGUUACUCUUUAACAAAUGUGAACCGUUUAUUGUCUCUGGUGGGCCUUUUUAUUGAGAGGUCCACCGAUUUUAUAUUGAACCUUGUAGUAUCAUUUGUCUUCAAGUUUUAAUUUUUUUAAUUAAAAACAACUUUUGGCAACGGAUCUCUAGGCUCUCGCAUCGAUGAAGAACGCAGC